rnacentral:rRNA from 1 species
GAUGAACGCUGGCGGCGUGCCUAAUACAUGCAAGUCGAGCGAACAGACGAGGAGCUUGCUCCUCUGACGUUAGCGGCGGACGGGUGAGUAACACGUGGAUAACCUACCUAUAAGACUGGGAUAACUUCGGGAAACCGGAGCUAAUACCGGAUAAUCUAUUGAACCGCAUGGUUCAAUAGUGAAAGACGGUUUUGCUGUCACUUAUAGAUGGAUCCGCGCCGCAUUAGCUAGUUGGUAAGGUAACGGCUUACCAAGGCGACGAUGCGUAGCCGACCUGAGAGGGUGAUCGGCCACACUGGAACUUAGACACGGUCCAGACUCCUACGGGAGGCAGCAGUAGGGAAUCUUCCGCAAUGGGCGAAAGCCUGACGGAGCAACGCCGCGUGAGUGAUGAAGGUCUUCGGAUCGUAAAACUCUGUUAUUAGGGAAGAACAAAUGUGUAAGUAACUAUGCACGUCUUGACGGUACCUAAUCAGAAAGCCACGGCUAACUACGUG